CAAGUCGAACGCGAAAGCCCCGCAAGGGGUAAGUAGAGUGGCAAACGGGUGAGUAACACGUGGGUGAUCUGCCUCAGAGUGGGGGAUAACGACCCGAAAGGGUCGCUAAUACCGCAUAACAUCCUGCCUUUGGAUAGGUGGAGAUCAAAGUUGGGGAUCCGCAAGGACUUGACGCUCAGAGAGGAGCCCGCGGCCGAUUAGCUAGUUGGUGAGGUAACGGCUCACCAAGGCAACGAUCGGUAUCCGGCCUGAGAGGGCGGACGGACACACUGGGACUGAGACACGGCCCAGACUCCUACGGGAGGCAGCAGUGGGGAAUUGUUCGCAAUGGGCGCAAGCCUGACGACGCAACGCCGCGUGGAGGACGAAGAUUUUCGGAUCGUAAACUCCUUUCGAUCGGAAAGAACAGCUUUUGGGUUAACAGCCUGAGAGUUUGACGGUACCGAGAGAAGAAGCCCCGGCUAACUCCGUGCCAGCAGCCGCGGUAAUACGGGGGGGGCAAGCGUUGUUCGGAAUUACUGGGCGUAAAGGGCUAGUAGGCGGCCAACUAAGUCCGACGUGAAAUCCCCAGGCUUAACCUGGGAACUGCGUCGGAUACUGGAUGGCUUGAAUUCGGGAGAGGGAUGCAGAAUUCCAGGUGUAGCGGUGAAAUGCGUAGAUAUCUGGAGGAAUACCGGUGGCGAAGGCGGCAUCCUGGACCGACAUUGACGCUGAACGGCGAAAGCUAGGGGAGCAAACGGGAUUAGAUACCCCGGUAGUCCUAGCCCUAAACGAUGAAUGCUUGGUGUGGCGGGUAUCGAUCCC
rnacentral:rRNA from 1 species